CAUUUUUGGGUGGAGUAACCCUUUAAGAUCACGACUCCAUGGGGUCCAAUUUAUACACGAGAAUGAUUUAUCAUGCUCACUGAAUCACACAAUUUGGGUCCAGUGAAUCUUGACAUUAUCAUCCUGAAAUAUGGACAUGGGUGUGUCAAUACAGUCAACAACUAUAUAAUAAGUGAAAGCACUGUUGUUAAGAAAUGUGUGGAGAUUAUUUACUAUCACAAUGUCACACUUUAAUGGAAUGUUUGAGAAAAUCAUGCAAUAACAGAGUAACAUUUAAGCUUUCUCUUUACUGAAGUGAGAUUCAGAGAAUUCUUAUGCCUGGAUGACCGCCCUACUGCUUUUGACAGUAUUAGAGACAGAUGGGAAAGCUCACUCAGUUACUGUAAUUCUUUUGCAUUCAGCCAAAUAUGAUGCAUCCAGUUGUCUGGAAACACCAGCUUACAACCACAUCCCUGACCACAAACAAAAAUAAAUAGCACAAUGAACUAAUCCAUUUCUCCUGCUGUGCCUACUGAAGGCCUUCUGUGAGACACUGGGAGGGACCAACUGUUGCCUUCAGAGAGACUUAAUGGAGAGAGACUGAGCCCCUGAGAAAUGUCCUGCUGCACAAAGAGCUCCAAAUGAGCCAGCCGGAGAGAACAAAAACCCAAGCGGAGCUGAACAGAGAGCCCAGAGACUUUUUAACAGCACAUGAAUAUAAAGAAGUGGAGAGAGAUGAUCUCAGGAGACCAAAUAAAAGUUCUGAACUAGGGUUCAUAAGGUGUCAUGGAUCAUGCUGGUGCGGAUCAGCAACUGACAGUCCAGAAAAGCAUAGUUCUGAAGGACCAUUCCAAGAACCCCAUCAAAGAAAUUAAAAGGAAAAAUAACAAGCACCAAAUAUAGGGCAAUUUCUUCAAAUCUUCUGCUUGUUCUUAGUCCAUAAUAAGAACAGAAAAGCUGUUUUGUUUAUUUUGAAUGAAUCAAACCAGUUGGUGCCAGGAAAUGAUUUGGAGCGCAAACACUUUUAAUGACUUAACUGAAAGAUGUUGCUUAAAUCAUUUAAAGAUGUAUGUGAGUGCAUGUGUGAUUCUACCAGUUUGUUUUUUAGAGAUUUUAUAUAGGACAUCUGAGUCAAACUAACAUUUGGACUAAAGCAGCCAAAGUAGUGACAUCACUUGCUCUCCGAUACAAUAUUGUUUACAAUUUUCUGUUUGUUACCCAGAUUUUGGACUUCUGUUUUGGAUUACUCACAUUUGGGUAUUGGCUUUUUGAUUUGGAUUGCAGAAUAAAUCGAUACAGUCGGGUCCUUCUGAUUCAUCCAGAGACAUGAUCAUAAACGGGUCAUCGAGCCAAAAACUGUAAAACUUCUUGGAAAAAGAAAAGGAACAAAAAAUACUUCCACGUAUUACUUAUCUGGAUGUUUUAUUCAUACAUGUAUCGUAUGUGGUAGAGAUUUUUUUCUAUCACAUAUCUGAUAAUUGAGUCAACUGUUCUAGUGCAACUGGUUCUACAUAACUGUUAGUUUCUGAAAUCUGUUAUAUUAUAGAUACACUAUACCUGUCCACACAACAUGUAGAAAAUAUCAGUUUUGACCAGCAUGAUCUUUCUGGUGAACCUGGUUGAGGUAUACUAUGGAGCAUCAAAAACUCAACAUGAAAUAGAGUUCUCCAGUGAUGAUUUUUUUUAGGUCUAAUAUCUUGGUGCCAGAAACCACAGGACACAUUCAGAGAACCAUGGAGUCCAUACCGCAAUGUAUCAGAGCUGUUCUGGCAGCAGGGGGACCUACACAAAAUUAGGCAGGUGGUUUUAAUGUUAAGACCGGUCAGUGUUUAAAGUUAUGAACUUGAAGAUGAAGACUUCAUGUCUUGUUAAUAAUCUGAGACAUGGCAUGAUAUCCAUCUUUGUAAAAAGUCAAUAAGGUUGUUUCACUUAGUAGUGUGGAAUUAUGCACAAUAAAUAAUUAGUCAUUUGUAAUGAGCCCUGCAUGAUGAUCUUAAAUGUCUUGAUUCAAAUUCUGUUACUUUAUUAAAAUCCACUAAAAUCGUUCCCUCAGCUUGAUUAAUAACACAUCAAAUGGUGCAACGAUCACAAUAAUAAACCUUCUGUCUGUGAAAAGUUCAAGGAAAAUGUAAACUCAGAAGAAAACGUAUCAUAUCUGUUACAGAGGAGGCUCCCGUACCACCUCCUUCUCACCACCAGAGAGAACUCUCUCCUGAAUAUUGACUAUAUCCAUUCGGACUCUAGUUCCCAUCAUGCUUCAUACCUGGGACUGAUUGCAUGUACACACCUGCAUCUAAUUACACUCACUCACCCAUUUAAGUCUCAAACUCACACCAGCUCACUGUGAAGUCUUGAUUUGUCCAAGCUGUCACAACUGAGCGGUUUUCCCCUUGUAUUCUGCCAACUUGUUUUGACGUGAACGCUGCAUGCAGAACUAACUGUGCCUACUGCGGUCAGGCUGGACACAUGAUAUCCUCUUGCUCAGUCCGUCCAUCAUCCAAACCCCAAUCGUGGAGGUGCUAGACGACCAACCCAUUGGAGAGGGAAAAGUUUUACAUAUCACCGAAGAAGUUAAACUACAAAUAGGAACCCUUCAUUCUGAAUACAUCAGAUUCUAUGUCAUCCAUUCACCCAAUCAUGCUAUCAUUCUGGGAUUACCAUGGCUGCACACACACAACCCACACAUUUCCUGAAGGGAGGGACAAAUUGUUCAAUGGGAUGCUACCUGUCAAGAUCACUGUCUAUCAAGGAUCACACGAUCACCUCCAUGAUUCUUCCCCAUCUGUUCUGAACACAGAUGAAUUAAACCUGCCCUCUGAAUAUGCUGACCUAGCCGAAGCUUUCAGUAAAAAGAAAGCAUUACAACUCCCAACCCACCGAUCCGUUGAUUGCACCAUAGAUCUGAUACCUGGCGCCACUCCUCCAAAGGGGAGGAUCUUUCCAUUGUCACAACCUGAAUAAGAAGCUAUGAAAGCCUUUAUCGAAGAGGAACUGACCAACUGAUUCAUUAGACCCUUGACUUUUCAUGCCUCAGCUGGGUUCUUCUUUGUAAAGAAAAGGAUGGAGGGUUGCGGCCAUGCAUUGAUUACCGCGGCUUUAACAAUAUUACUGUUAAUCUUCGUUAUCCCCUGCCACUGGUCCCCACAGCUCUAGAACAGCUCCGCCAGGCAAAAUACUACACAAAGUUAGAUCUACGCAAUGCAAUUACAAUUCAAUUCGAUUACGAGAGGGGGAUGAAUGGAAAACGGCGUUCUCUACCACUAGUGGGCACUACGAAUACUUGGUUAUGCCCUUCGGCCUGGCAACAGUCCAUCGAUCUUUCAAUCCUUCAUGAAUGAUGUUUUUCGGGACAUACUCAACAGAGGGGUAAUCAUGUACAUCGACAUCCUGGUUUACUCAAAUUCCCUGGAGGAACACAUUCAUCAUGUCAGAUCUGUAUU